GCUUACGGCCAUACCACCCUGAGAACGCCCGUUCUUGUUUGAUCUCGGAAGCUAAGCAGGGUCGGGCCUGGUUAGCACUUGGAUGGGAGACCGCCUGGGAAUACCAGGUGCUGUAAGCU
ensembl:rRNA 5S_rRNA 5S ribosomal RNA